rnacentral:lncRNA from 1 species
UCACAAAUAAUUUUUAUUAUUUAAAAAUAAUUUUCGACUUUUAACUUUAUCAAUAUAUUGAUUACAAAAAAAUCAGCUCGCAUUCUCUGGCAAUGUUAAGGCAUCCGAGCCUUCCAAUUUUGUGCAGUAAAUCUCGUCCAUUCGUGUGAAAUUUUUCCAGUUUGCAACCACGUGUAGUUUUUUUUUUUUUUUUUUUUUUUUUUUCGUUUCUCUCUCCCACGGAUCGUCUAUUCUGUUUUUUUGUCUUUACC